GCGUUAUUGGUUUAGUGGUAAAAUUCUCCGUUGCCAUCCGUGCAACGUUUCGGGGAGCCCUGGGUUCGAUUCCCAGAUAACGCA
rnacentral:tRNA from 1 species